rnacentral:rRNA from 1 species
GAUGAACGCUGGCGGCGUGCCUAAUACAUGCAAGUCGAGCGAACAGAUAAGGAGCUUGCUCCUUUGACGUUAGCGGCGGACGGGUGAGUAACACGUGGGUAACCUACCUAUAAGACUGGAAUAACUCCGGGAAACCGGGGCUAAUGCCGGAUAACAUUUAGAACCGCAUGGUUCUAAAGUGAAAGAUGGUUUUGCUAUCACUUAUAGAUGGACCCGCGCCGUAUUAGCUAGUUGGUAAGGUAACGGCUUACCAAGGCAACGAUACGUAGCCGACCUGAGAGGGUGAUAGGCCACACUGGAGCGGAGACACGGUCAAGACUCCUGCGGGAGGCAGCAGUAGGGAAUCUUCCGCAAUGGGCGAAAGCCUGACGGAGCAACGCCGCGUGAGUGAUGAAGGUCUUCGGAUCGUAAAACUCUGUUAUUAGGGAAGAACAAAUGUGUAAGUAACUGUGCACGUCUUGACGGUACCUAAUCAGAAAGCCACGGCUAACUACGUG